rnacentral:lncRNA from 10 species
GUAGGGUAUGGUUUGUGAAGGUAUCCCUAGAGAAGGUGACUCUGCGGCUGAGCUUGAAGGAAGAGAAUUGGUAGGUGACAAAGAAGAGGAAUAUAACACAUUCCUGUCAUUAAGAGAAGCUGCUGACUUGAAAUGGGAGUUCAGUAAUGGCAGUGAGAGGAGAUGAAGUAACACCGUUGGAGGAGGUCAGAGCACAGGGUGCCUUAAAAACAAGCCACAGCAUUUGGACUUUAUUCUCCUUAUUUAUGCCAUCCUGUUUAUCAGUAUUGAUCUGCAGCACUCCAAGGUCCAAGGGACAAAGGCAAGGAAAUCUCCAACCUCUCAGAAUAUGAGAAGAUACUAUAGUAAAUAUGUCAAUAAAUUUUAUUCUACAACAGC